GUAAUGUAUUUAAUUAUUUUCCUUUGCGGAGGUGAUACCAGGACGAAUUAAACAGCCUCGACACAGCUGAAGGCGCAAGAAAAUCGUACGAGACAGUUUGGGAUGUUAAAAACACCUGAAAACUUUUUUUUCACUACCCUUCAUACUACAGCGGUCGAAAAACCACAGCAACGUCGACACGCCUGGAAGCAUAGCUGUAUUUGUUUAAGACAACGGCUGUCGAAGAACCACAGCAACGUCGGCAGAUCUGGAAGCAUAGCUGUAUUUGUUUAACUCACAACGACAACGGGUAAGUCAUUGAGCCCUUGUGUUUUUAUUUAUCCACGUUCUAAAAUUGCUAUGCUUUCGUUGUUUCUCGAUUGCUCUGUACAUUUCUUUGUUUCUAUUCCACGUAAAGUUACUUUGUAAUAACGAAACGAUAUAUUGAAAUGCGCUAUUUAAAUCCAUUUGAUUUAAAUUGUUUCACGUUUUUCUCUCUGCACGGUUUAACCGGGCUGGAAACGGAAAAUGGGUAGAUCUCGAAGAAUAUUUGGUUUCAGACCUGGCUUCGUGCGCCUUUCCACCUGGUCACACACAGUAAUGAAAUGGUAGUCGGACGGCCUUCGGGGGCGCCGUCGAUGUGAUCGGUCACAGGAAGAUGCGGCCGUCUGGCCUCAAAGGCUGUUGCUCAUACUUACCUGGCAGGGGAGAUACCAUGAUCAUGAAGGUGGUUCACCCAGGGCGAGGCUCAGCCAUUGCACUCCGGUUGUGCUGACCCUUUGCGAAUUCCCCAAAUGUGGGAAUCUCGACUGCAAAAUUUCUGAUAGUGGGGGACUGCGUUCGCGCUCUCCCCUGGC